UACGGGGGGGGUAAGCGUUGUUCGGAAUUACUGGGCGUAAAGGGCUCGUAGGCGGCCAACUAAGUCAUACGUGAAAUCCCUCAGCUUAACUGGGGAACUGCGUGUGAUACUGGAUGGCUUGGAUUGGGAGAGGGAUGCGGAAUUCCAGGUGUAGCGGUGAAAUGCGUAGAUAUUCGGAGGAACACCAGAAGCGGAAGGCGGACUCACUGGCCCGAUACUGACGCUGAGGCGCGAAAGCGUGGGGAGCA
rnacentral:rRNA from 1 species